UAACUUGCGCCCCGCCGAGGUUUCCAUCUUUUCAUCCGAAUGAAAAGAUGAAACGAAGAGGGAAGCCGGUGCAAAUCCGGCGCUGCCCCGCAGCGGUAUGUGGAAACGACCUUCGCCAGACGCACUGGGCACAGCUGCCCGGGAAGCGGCGGACAGUAGGCGGCCGGCCCUCGCCGGCCACGUCCACGAGCCCGAAGACCUGCCUCGGCCGGAGUCCGGAC
rnacentral:ncRNA from 2 species